rnacentral:rRNA from 1 species
UUAAAAUUGUUGCAGUUAAAACGCUCGUAGUUGAAUUUCAAAGAGUCAUGGCGUUUCUGAGGUGCUACGCUUGGUUGAUCGCCCAGCACUGACCAUCUAUGAUUUUAUUGUAGAACAGUGAGCCUGGGUGUUUAGCUCCAAGAAAGUUGUCUCCUUUACAAAGUGAUUUUUCUAAGGGUCUCUUGAGUACCAGUCCUUGGGAGGUUCUUUUUACCUUGAGUAAAUUAGAGUGUUUAAAGCAAACAGAUACAACAGUUUACUGUGUUUAAAUACUACAGCAUGGAAUAAUAAUAUCGAAUGAGCCGACGUACUUUUCGUUUCUUUGUUAUUUUGGCUUAGUUACGAUUAACAGGAAUAGUUGGGGGCAUUUGUAUUCAGAUGUUAGAGGUGAAAUUCUAAGAUUAUCUGGAGACGAACAAUUGCGAAAGCAUCUGUCUAACAUAUUUUCAUUAAUCAAGAACGAAAGUUAAGGGAGUGAAGACGAUCAGAUACCGUCGUAAUCUUAACCAUAAACUAUGCCAACUAUGUUUUGGAUGUAUGAGAAAAAGGUGGAAUACUUUGUUUUACGACAUUGUCAUUCCAUUUAUGCUUCAUUCAGUACCUUAGAGAAAUCAAAGUCUUUGGGUUCUGGGGCGAGUAUUCGCGCAAGCGAGAAAGUUAAAAGAAUUGACGGAAGGGCACCACCAGGCGUGGAGCUUGCGGCUUAAUUUGACUCAACACGGGAAAACUUACUAGUAUAAGACAAGAGUAGGAUUGACAGAUUAAUAGCUCUUUCUUGAUUUCUUGGAUGGUGAUGCAUGGCCGUUUUUAGUUCGUGAAUAUGAUUUGUCUGGUUAAUUCCGAUAACGAACGAGACCUUAACCUGCUAGUUAGCGGCCGGUAUGUCGCGAAUUUAUCAAAAUCUUAUCUCGUAGGCUGGAUUAUUUUUAGAAGAUAUGACGGAUAACCGAGUCGAGUGUCGUCCCCAUCACUGUUCUAUUAAUUCGCAGUCUGUCCUGGUUUUUUUUUUGGUAAGUAUGUAUCCGCUUGAAUGUAAGCUUCUUAGAGGUACGAUGUGUGCUUAACACAAGGAAGUUUAAGGCAACAACAGG